GUGGGGAAUAUUGGACAAUGGGGGGAACCCUGAUCCAGCCAUGCCGCGUGUGUGAAGAAGGCCUUUUGGUUGUAAAGCACUUUAAGCGAGGAGGAGGCUACCGAGAUUAAUACUCUUGGAUAGUGGACGUUACUCGCAAAAUAACCACCGGCUAACUCUGUGCCAGCAGCCGCGGUAAUACAGAGGGUGCAAGCGUUAAUCGGAUUUACUGGGCGUAAAGCGGGCGUAGGUGGCCAAUUAAGUCAAAUGUGAAAUCGCCGAGCUUAACUUGGGAAUUGCAUUCGAUACUGGUUGGCUAGAGUAUGGGAGAGGAUGGUAGAAUUCCAGGUGUAGCGGUGAAAUGCGUAGAGAUCUGGAGGAAUACCGAUGGCGACGGCAGCCAUCUGGCCUAAUACUGACACUGAGGUGCGAAAGCAUGGGGAGCAAACAGGAUUAGAAACCCUUGUAGUCC
rnacentral:rRNA from 1 species